UCGGUCGAGGAUGGUGUUUAAAAAGGGAAUCUCUCUCUCUCUCUCCCCGAUUCUGCCAGGGAGCAUGUUUAAAGAGGGAGUCUCUCUCUCUCUCUCUGUCAGGGACCCUGUUUAAUCCAAGAUGGCGGUCAGGGUAUUGUCUUGAACUCUCCUUCCUGACGUCCAGCGAGCAAAACGUGGCGAACUCCUUCGCAAUCUCCGCGGGACUCGUAUUCCAGCCCCGACGCACCUUCACCAACAGAAUCGGAGGUCGCUCAGCCUGUGGGUCAGGCCCUGAGAGGGACUGGGAAAUACAUGAUUUACAGCCAGCGUCAACAAGCAGCACACCCAGGGCAGGGGCAACACUGUUAGAGAUAGAGGAAAGCUUCUUCUACACAAACAGAAAUUAAAGAUCGCUCUACAGAGAUCCAUGAAACACACCCAGGACAGAGACAGCAGAUUGUAGAACUGGAGGAACAGAGCAGGCAAGUCAGCAGAGCAGCAGGAAAGUUGAUGUUUCGGGUCGGGACCCUUCUUCAGAAACAGUUUUAGAAACAGAGCAUACAGCCAUACAGUACAAGAAUGGGCUCUUCGGCCCAUAAUACUGUGCUGAACAAUGUCAAAUUAAAUUAAUCCCUGCUACCUGCCCUUGGCCCACAUCCCUCCAUUCCUUGCAUAUUUGUGUGCUUAUUUAAACGUCCCUUAAACAUCCCUGUGUAUCUGCCUUCAAUACCACCCCUGGCAGCAUCUUCCAGACUCAACAACUCUGUGUAAUAAACUUGCCCCUCACAUCUCCUUUGAACUUCCCCCUCACCUUAAAUGCAUGCCCCCUAGUACUAAAAGUUUCAACUUUGGGAAAAUGAUUCUGAACAUCAAACCUAUCUAUACAUCUCAGAAUUUUAUAUUAUUUCAAUCAAGUCUACCCUCAGCCUCCCCUGCUCCAGAGAAAGCAACCUGAAAUCCUCUCCUUAUUGCUCAUACCUUCUGAUCCAGGAAUCAUCCUGGCAAACCUCUUCUGCACCCUCUCCAAAGCCUCCACAUUCUUCCUGUCAUGUCGUGACCAGAACUGAAUGCAAUAUUUUAAGUGUGGCCUAGCUGCAACGUAACAUCCUGAUUCUUGCACUCAAUGUCCUGACCCAUAAAUGCAACAUGCCAUACGCUGUCUUUACCACCUUGCCUACAAGGGGCCACGAAGUAGAUAAACGGUAGACAGUAGAUAGACUAAAGCUGCCUCUACACUCCUAAACAGAAAUUAAAUCUCCUAUGACAUUGUCUCCAUCAAAUACUCAGGUCAGAAAUAGCACGGGGCUAGACACAGAGUAAAGCUCCCUCCACUCUACUGAAGUGAAAAUAAAGCUUUCUCUACUCUUAAACUCCAAGCAAAGCUUCCUCACCACUGUUCCCAUCAAGCACUCUCAGGACGGGGAUAGCAAAGGGUUAGAUAAAGUUCCCGCUACAGUGCCCCCAUCAAACACUCGCAGGUCAGGGUCAGCAGAGGGUUAGAUACAGAGUAAAGUUCUCUCUACAGUAUCCCAUUAAAUAGUCUCAGGUCAGGGACAGAUACAAACUCCCCUACACUGUCAAUAAAUGUAAUGUGAAAAAUC